CUGGUUAAAGACCAGUAUCUCCAACCCUAUCAAAAUCUAAUAAUUCGAUGCAGAAAAACACAACUUUCCACAAUAAUUUGGACAAGUAUGAACCAUCCUCCAAAUCACACUCUUGAGUGCACUUUGAAGACCCAUUUAUGCAUCACAGAACGUAUGUCUGACACAGAACGUAUAACGUAUGUCUGACACAGAACGUAUGUCUGACACCUAACACAGAACGUAUGUCUGACACAGAACGUAUGUCUGACACCUAACACAGAACGUAUGUCUAACACAGAACGUAUGUCUGACACAGAACGUAUGUCUGACACAGAAAGUAUAACGUACGUCUGACACAGAACGUAUGUCUGACACCUGACACAGAACGUAUGUCUGACACCUAACACAGAACGUAUGUCUGACACCUAACACAGAACGUAUGUCUGACACAGAACAUAUGUCUGACACCUAACACAGAACGUAUCUCUGACACCUGACACAGAACGUAUGUCUGACACCUGACACAGAAUGUAUGUCUGACACCUGACACAGAAC
rnacentral:lncRNA from 1 species